GCCGGUGACCAUGGAGAGGGGGAAACACCCGUUCCCAUUCCGAACACGGAAGUUAAGCCCCUCAUCGCCGAUGGUACUGCCGGGCGUCCCCGGUGGGAGAGUAGGUCGUCGCCGGCU
rnacentral:rRNA from 1 species